rnacentral:lncRNA from 1 species
UGCGACAACACUGGAUCCUUUAACCCACUGCAUGGAGCCAGGGAUCAAACCUAUGCCUCCUCAGCAAUCCAAGCCACUGCAGUCAAAUCUUAACCCACUGCACCACAUGGGAAAUCCAACAUCUGAGUGUCUUUAUAUAUAAACUUAUUUAAGUAAAUAAAGUGAGUUAUUUUAAAGCCUGAUGCUAAGCCAAUCCUGAACCAGGUGGCUGGGACACUACCUGUCUAGCCACAGUAGAGUCCAGGUCUAAAGUAAGCAAAAGGAAGCUGACUGGAAAAAAGCAGAAAGGUAAAGUCUUGUCAAAAUGCAAGAAGCCUCGUGGCAGGGGAAACAUUUUGGAAAAUAUUUUGUAGGUCUGUUUUCCAAGUGUCUGCAAAGCCAAAUUCCUUGGAAAUAUGUUCUUUGUGCAUGAGUGUGGCAUCUCUCUCAUUUUCCAGAGUGCAUGAAAUAUGCCAAUCUUCAAUUCUGUUAUUCAAAGUUAAAGGCAAAGUUGAAAAAAGCAAAUACAACUUCAUGCUGCAUGCAAAAUAUAAAAGUGCAACCAUAAAUACCGUUUUAAUUUUUAAAAACUUUAUAUCAUUUGAGGAGUUCCCCUAGAAGCUCAGUGGAAAGGAAUCUGACUAGCAUCCAUGAGGAUGUAGGUUCAAUCGCUGGCCUCACUCAAUAAGUUAAGGAUCUGGCAUUGUCAUGAGUGUGGUGUAGGUCACAGAUGCAGCUCAGAUCUGGUGUUGCUGUGGCCGUGGCGUAGGCCAGCAGCUACAGCUUAAAUUUGACCCCUAGCCUGGGAACCUCCAUAUGCCCCAGGUACAGCCCUAAAAAAACAAAACAAAACAAAAUUUGUAUCAUUUAAGAUCUGAUCAUAAAACAGAGGAUACAUAAAACACUCACCUGGGGUAAUCGGUAAAACUAUUUACAGAGGUGUGGGGAAACCAAGGGUUAAUGCAAUGUAUGGGGCUAAGGGAGGAAGAACCCACUGAGAAAGUCCACAUAGGAGAACCUACCAGGCACCAAGCUGAGUAUAAAGGGAUAAAUGGAAAAUAACCAGCACAGAAACAAGGCUAUUUUCAAAUAUUUUCAAACAUUUGCUGGGUAUUUAUUUACCACUGUGUAAUCACUAGCUUUAGGCUGGGCUGUGGACUACAGAGAUUAAGAGGGCAGAUAGCUUGGACUCAGCUUGCCACUCAUCAGCUAUGUGAGUUUCUUAUGUCACUGAACUUAGUUUAUUUGGUAAAAUGAGGGACAAAAGCAGUAUUCAUCCUAACACUGGUGUGAGAAGCCAAAGAGUAAAUGUAUUUAUGUUGAUGCUAGAAAGAUAUUACCAGAAUUCAGGUUCUUGUUCAUGCAGCCAAAGAAUGAACUCUGGAACACACAGGCAGCAAGCAAGCAAAAUCUUUAUUAUAAGAAAACAAAUAGCUCCCAGGACAGCUGGGAAGGGGUAGAAGAGCCCCCCUCUCUAUUGUCUUAUAGGGGUUUUUAUCCCUUAAAGAUGGGGGUUACCAAUGUGGGGUACAGAAAGAUGUGGGUUUUUUUCCUCAUUGGCUUUGCCCAAUUACCUAUAUCAGUCCUUGUCCAAUAGGGGUCUUGGAGUGGAAAUGUCCCGUAAGUCUCAUGGUUUCUUUGCCCUUCUCUUCCCGUAAACUGAGUCACAGGGGGUUAGAGAUUAAUGUCCAUCCGGGCAAAGGUACACUCCCUGUAGUAAACAAGGCCUGUGGGGAUGUUACUCUCUGGAAUCUUUAAGCCACAAAUGUUAAUCAAUACAUAUCAAAGAAGGCAUCAAAGCCCAUGCUCCUACAAUGACCACAUGAGUUAUUAUUCUGUCUCAAUGUUAGCCACGAAAAUGUUCAAGAGAAACCUAUGGGAAAAAAGCUUAAAAUUGUGGAAAUUCUAAAUUUAAACUGAAUUAAAUUAGUAUUUCAUAUGACUUGGUCAAAAAUAUUCUAUGUAAUUGACAGAACAUCUGCAAGGCCUCCAAAGCUGUAAAAUGAUCUAGACUAGCAGAGGUGGGUAGGGGUGAUGGUUGUGAUCAGUAAUGGUGGUAAAACCGAGCAGAAUCCUAUGGGGCUUUCCCAAGUACAAAGUACUAAGUAGAAGUACAAACGCCUUCCCAAGUACUAUGUCCCCUGGCUCUUGUUUAGGGAAAUGCUGAAGUCUUCCAGGCUUCCUAGAGACACAAAAGAGGAGGCUCAAGCAGUUAAUUAUUGGGAUGAUAGAGUCCUACACUCAGCGUCUGAUAAAGAAUGAGAUUAACACUAUUGCUCAUAUGAUCUAUAUCUCUGUGUGCAUUAGAAUAAUUGUAGCUUGUUCUGCUCAUAUAUGUUAGCAGGCAACUAAAAUUGUCAGCAAAGAGAUGAUACAGAUCCAUGUUGACAUCUUCCAUUCUAAGAAUAAAAUGCCCCCUAGGUCAGCAUGAAGUUACAGAAGACAGACCUUUGCCCCAGAUGCAUAAAACGGGAAUGAUGUCUGAUGGGAUUUGUCAGCAGCUCAUUUGCCCCUUUUCCGCUUGUUCAUUUCUGUUUUCCUCGGACCUCAAUCAUAAAGAUGAAAUCAUUAGGCAACAUUUAACCUAAGU